ACUAGUUACUCCUUGUCAACUGUAUUCCUCCGCUGUGGUGGUUUUUCUGUGUGCUGUCGGUUCUGGUUGGUUUGGUUGUUGUCUUGUUGAUCAUCUCGAAAAUGAGCUAAUUUUUCAACAACCUAUCAGGUUUUUGAUGUCGCACUAGAGUCCAGAGGAGAAGUUUGAACUUCAGGACACUGGAACUUCAGGAUAACUGAUUUAUAAUACUGUCGUCAUUGAUCGUGCAGACGAGGUGGUUGCAGUUCUGCAGUGAUAAGGAAGGCUGGUUAAAAUUCUGCUGCUACUUAACAAAAAGUGUUUUCCCCAGGAACCAUCUGGCUGCAGUAAUUAAACCCAUGACAAGGUUUGAAACGAGUCAGCACAGCGAGGGAAAUUAAUUCUUUUCUGAUUUCAACUUGAUGAUACAUUACAAGUGUUCGCUUGGACUUAAUGAUUUUAGUGCUUUGAAGAGUUCACGCGGAAGUCUGAUUGAAUCCGAUUUAACAUCUGCAGCCGAUAAUCUAAUAAUCUACAGAUUACUUUGUAAUUGAAUUAAUUUCAAAUUGUUAUCGUUGAUACAUAAGACACUUGGAUGAAUUCUCACAUAGACUUAACUGCAGCAGUUUGUCUAAUAUUAAACUUGAUUAUUUGAGUGUAAUCAUGAAAUUAGUAUUCGUUUAUGUAAUUUUUUGUCAUUAUAUUUUCGUUGUAGGAAUAUUAUUAGUUUUGAAGUUAUAUUUUAAAAUUUGCUGAAAGUACAUUUCCAUAAGUAGGAAUAUCAAUAAGUGAUUUUUGUGUUUAGCUUUUUGAAUUAAGUAUUAUAAGGUAAUUGUGAUAAUUAUUAGUAAUUGAUGUAAUUUUCUAGAAUCAUAUUUUGGGAUGUUUUUUCUAGAAUUAUAUUUUGGGAUCAUUACCAAUGUGAAGUAUUUGUUUUGAACACUUUCAUCGUGAAAGGUUUAGUUAAAGAUAUAUUACUAUUGUCUAAGAUUCCUUAAUUUUGUAUAUAUAAAGCACGGGAUUCAUAAAUCACUUUUUCAAUGCUCAACUUUUAAUUUAUUGCUUUUGUCAUUCUUAAGAUUGUUUUUCUGUGGAUGUUUUUCUGUAGAGAAAAAUGCAAAGAAAUGUCUACAGAAACUCAUCUAUGUUUUGACAUAGAGGAACCAAUGUACAACUAUAUUGUCCUUGCUAAAUGGUGUUUGCAAUUACAACUAGCAGCUGUUAGAUUAGUAUUAAGCAACCAACAUUAUACGUGCCACCAAUACGUAAAAACUCUACAAUUUUUUUUUAUAUAUUUCCGUUCUAGUUAAUAAUAUAUUUUCUGUGGAGAAAAUGGUAUUUAGCUCAACAGGUACGAAAAAGCACUUAUUCGAGGUAGAGAGUAUGUGUUCACAUAUACAGUUUCGAAACAUCACGUCGCAUAUUUUUGUGUGUGAAAGAGAUUUUAGUGAUGUGUCGAAGUUAUGUGAAUAUAUGCUCACUACCCCGAAUUUGUGGUUUUUCCAUACUCAUUGCAGCUCAACAUUGAGCUGUCAGAAUUCUGAAAUGGAUUUUUUUUACCAAUUUGUACAAGUAAUAAAUCGGACUAAUCAGUGAUUGUAAUAUAAAAUUCAGAAGAUAUUUUUCUCUUAAGAAAAAUGUAAGAUCUGUAUUUCAUGAGAUUGUAAAGUUUAUAAGAUGAGAAAUAAAAUACAAACAAGUCAUAAAA